AUGUCCCCAGAGGACAAGAAAAUAGAUGGAACUCUUAGAUUCAUACCACAACACCAGCAAUUACAAGUUGUGGAUUGUUCCAAUGGCCUAGUCCUUUGCGGCUACAAGAGCUUCUAUACUUUUGGAAAUACUUGUCGCUUCAUUGUGUGCAACCCAGCAACAAAAGAGUGGAGAGCUCUUCCUGUUUCUAACACUAACAAUCACCCAUAUGUCUCAAAUUACUCCCGUUGUACAACUUUUCUCGCCUUUGAUCCGUCGUGGUCGGCACAGUUCUACGUCUUCCACUUUCUGCAGAAUGCCAAAGGUCGGCCAAUGGGUAUAAGGAAACUUGAGGUGUUCUCUUUCUGA
rnacentral:rRNA from 1 species